UGAGUACGAGAUGCUACGGCAUUGAAGCAGUCUAUGUCAUACUUCCAAGAAAAGCUUGCAAUGUCAUAAACAAAUAAUGCCUGUACCAUAACCGACACAGGUGGGUAGGUAGAGUAUACUAAGGGGCGCGAGAUAGCUCUCUCUAAGGAACUCGGCAAAAUGACUCCGUAACUUCGGGAGAAGGAGUGCCUUAUUUUAUAAGGUUGCAAUAACAAGAUCCAAGCAACUGUUUACCAAAAACACAGGUCUCCGCUAAGUCGUAAGACGAUGUAUGGGGGCUGACGCCUGCCCAGUGCCAGAAGGAUAAAGAAGUUGGUUAGCAUUAGCGAAGCUGAUAACUGAAGCCCUGGUGAACGGCGGCCGUAACUAUAACGGUCCUAAGGUAGCGAAAUUCCUUGUCGGGUAAGUUCCGACCCGCACGAAAGGCGUAAUGAUUUGGAUACUGUCUCGGAGAGGGGCUCGGUGAAAUAGACUUGUCUGUGAAGAUGCGGACUACCUGCACCUGGACAGAAAGACCCUAUGAAGCUUUACUGUAACUUGAGAUUGAAAUUGGACUUUAUUUGCGCAGUAUAGGUGGGAGACAUUGAAAGUAUUCUUGCGGGAAUAUUGGAGUCAUCAGUGAGAUACCACUCUUAUAAUGUUAGAUUUCUAACUUUGUAUCAUUAUCUGGUCAAAGAACAGUUUCAGGCGGGCAGUUUGACUGGGGCGGUCGCCUCCCAAACGGUAACGGAGGCGCACAAAGGUUUCCUCUGAACGUGUAGAAAUCGUAUCUAGAGUGUAAAGGCAUAAGGAAGCUUGACUGUGAGACCUACAAGUCGAGCAGGGACGAAAGUCGGUCUUAGUGAUCUGACGGUGCUGAGUGGAAAGGCCGUCACUCAACGGAUAAAAGUUACUUUAAGGAUAACAGGCUGAUCUCCCCCAAGAGUUCACAUCGACGGGGUGGUUUGGCACCUCGAUGUCGGCUCAUCGCAUCCUGGGGCGGUAGUACGUCCCAAGGGUUGGGCUGUUCGCCCAUGAAAGCGGUACGCGAGCUGGGUUCAGAACGUCGUGAGACAGUUCGGUCCAUAUCCGGUGUAGGCGUUAGAAUAUUGAGAGGAGCCUUCUUUAGUACGAGAGGACCGAGAAGGACAUACCUCUGGUGUACCAGUUAUCGUGCCAACGGUAAACGCUGGGUAGCUAUGUAUGGAGAGGAUAACCGCUGAAAGCAUCUAAGUGGGAAGCCCACCUCAAGAUAAGUAUUCUCAUC
rnacentral:rRNA from 1 species